UUUAGUUUGGCAGAUUAAUGUAUUAGAUUUAGGUUCUAAAAAUGAUAUUUAUCAACUAAAA
rnacentral:tRNA from 1 species